CCUACGGGAGGCAGCAGUGGGGAAUUUUGGACAAUGGGCGCAAGCCUGAUCCAGCAAUGCCGCGUGAGUGAAGAAGGCCUUCGGGUUGUAAAGCUCUUUUGUCAGGGAAGAAACGGUGGGGGCUAAUAUCCCUUGCUAAUGACGGUACCUGAAGAAUAAGCACCGGCUAACUACGUGCCAGCAGCCGCGGUAAUACGUAGGGUGCAAGCGUUAAUCGGAAUUACUGGGCGUAAAGCGUGCGCAGGCGGUUUUGUAAGUUUGUCGUGAAAUCCCCGGGCUCAACCUGGGAAUGGCGAUGAAGACUGCAAGGCUAGAAUCUGGCAGAGGGGGGUAGAAUUCCACGUGUAGCAGUGAAAUGCGUAGAGAUGUGGAGGAACACCGAUGGCGAAGGCAGCCCCCUGGGUCAAGAUUGACGCUCAUGCACGAAAGCGUGGGGAGCAAACAGGAUUAGAUACCCUGGUAGUCCACGCCCUAAACGAUGUCUACUAGUUGUCGGGUUUUAAUUAACUUGGUAACGCAGCUAACGCGUGAAGUAGACCGCCUGGGGAGUACGGUCGCAAGAUUAAAACUCAAAUGAAAUUGACGG
rnacentral:rRNA from 1 species